UGGAGGUCCGAACCCGUGAAUGUUGAAAAAUUCUGGGAUGACUUGUGGAUAGGGGUGAAAGGCUAAUCAAACCUGGAGAUAGCUGGUUCUCCGCGAAAUCUAUUUAGGUAGAGCGUCCGACGAAUACCCUGGGGGGUAGAGCACUGGAUGGUUGCGGGCUGCGCGAGCGGUACCAAUACUAACCAAACUCCGAAUACCCAGGAGUACUAUCGGGCAGACACACGGCGGGUGCUAACGUCCGUCGUGAAAAGGGAAACAACCCUAACCAUCAUCUAAGGCCCCCAAGUCAUGGCUAAGUGGGAAACGAUGUGGGAUUGCUUUGACAAUCAGGAGGUUGGCUUAGAAGCAGCCAUCCUUUAAAGAAAGCGUAACAGCUCACUGAUCAAGCGAUCCUGCGCGGAAAAUGUAACGGGGCUCAAGCCAUGCGCCGAAGAUAUGGGUUUGCAGUUUACUGCAAGCGGUAGCGGAGCGUUCCGUAAGCCGGUGAAGGUCAGGCGUGAGCCUGGCUGGAGGUAUCGGAAGUGAGAAUGCUGACAUGAGUAACGAUAAACAGUGUGAGAAACACUGUCGCCGAAAGACCAAGGGUUCCUGCGUAAAGCUAAUCUGCGCAGGGUUAGUCGGCCCCUAAGGCGAGGCUGAAAAGCGUAGUCGAUGGGAAGCAGGUAAAUAUUCCUGCACCAGCUAGAAGUGACGGAUGGCGUAAGUUGUCGGGGCUUAUUGGAUUGUCCCGGCAGCGAAGUUGUCCCUGGAAAUAACUCUAGCAGAGACCGUACCCGAAACCGACACAGGUGGUCAGGUAGAGCAUACCAAGGCGCUUGAGAGAACUGUGCUGAAGGAACUCGGCAAAUUGCACGCGUAACUUCGGAAUAAGCGUGACUCACCCAGCGCAAGCUGGACUGAGUGGCACAAGCCAGGGGGUAGCGACUGUUUAGCAAAAACACAGGGCUCUGCGAAGCAGCAAUGCGACGUAUAGGGUCUGACGCCUGCCCGGUGCCUGAAGGUUAAAGGGAGUUGUGAAAGCGACGAACUGAAGCCCAGGUAAACGGCGGCCGUAACUAUAACGGUCCUAAGGUAGCGAAAUUCCUUGUCGGGUAAGUUCCGACCUGCACGAAUGGCGUAACGACUUCCCCACUGUCUCCAGCACAUGCUCAGCGAAAUUGAAUUCUCCGUGAAGAUGCGGAGUACCCGCGGUUAGACGGAAAGACCCCGUGCACCUUUACUGCAGCUUCAGAGUGGCAGUGAAAAACAACUGUGUAGAAUAGGUGGGAGGCUUUGAAGCACUGGCGCCAGCCGGUGUGGAGCCACAAUGUGAAAUACCACCCUGUUGUUUUUUACUGUCUAACCUCGCGCCGUUAGCCGGCGUAGGGACCCUCUGUGGCGGGUAGUUUGACUGGGGCGGUCGCCUCCUAAAGAGUAACGGAGGCGCGCGAUGGUGGGCUCAGGACGGUUGGAAACCGUCUGUUAGAGUGCAAUGGCAUAAGCCCGCCUGACUGCGAGACUGACAAGUCGAGCAGAGACGAAAGUCGGUCAUAGUGAUCCGGUGGUCCCUCGUGGAAGGGCCAUCGCUCAACGGAUAAAAGGUACGCCGGGGAUAACAGGCUGAUAACCCCCAAGAGCUCAUAUCGACGGGGUUGUUUGGCACCUCGAUGUCGGCUCAUCACAUCCUGGGGCUGGAGCAGGUCCCAAGGGUUUGGCUGUUCGCCAAUUAAAGUGGUACGUGAGCUGGGUUCAGAACGUCGCGAGACAGUUUGGUCCCUAUCUGCCGUGGGCGUCGAAAUUUGAGAGGAGUUGACCCUAGUACGAGAGGACCGGGUUGAACAUACCUCUGGUGGACCUGUCAUCGUGCCAACGGUGCAGCAGGGUAGCUAUGUAUGGACGGGAUAACCGCUGAAAGCAUCUAAGCGGGAAGCCUCCCUCAAGAUAAGAUUUCUUAGGACGGUCGGAGACCACGACCUUGAUAGGCCGGAUGUGGAAGCGCGGUAACGCGUGGAGCUAACCGGUCCUAAUUGUCCUAUUCGCGCUU
rnacentral:rRNA from 1 species